rnacentral:rRNA from 1 species
AUGAACGAAAUAAUGUACUCUUUUAAGAAGGAAGGUGGGAAUUAAAGACCAACUCACUUCAUGCAAGCGUUCAGAGACGUGGUGGAUGAGUGUAACUUAUCAGAUCAUGGAUUCAUCGAUGAUAAAUUUACUUGGCAUCGUGCCCUUAUCAGAGAACGGUUAGAUCGUGCUCUCGUGAAUGAUGGAUGGAAUUCGAUGUUUCCAGGGGCAGUCUUACAACAUUUGGAUUUUUACAAGUCGGGUCAUAAGCCGAUUAUUAUGAACAUGAAUGAAGAGAUCUGUCAGGAUACUGUGUGA